GGGUCGAUGGCGUAGUUGGUUAUCGCAUCUGUCUAACAUCCACAAAACAUCCAUUAGAGAGUUACACAGAAGGUCCUCAGUUCGAGCCUGGGUCGACUCA